UUCAGGUGCUCGCGCCUCGACCUUUCUUAACCAUACACCUGUGAACCAUUGAGGGAGAGGAGGACGCGAGUUCUCCUUUUCUCUUUUUUACACAUACCCCAGUGACAAACAUUGAACGUGAUAGUGCCUUCGGGCCAUAAUCAAAUAUACAACUUUUAACAACGGAUCUCUUGGCUCUCGCAUCGAUGAAGAACGCAGCGAAAUGCGAUAAGUAAUGUGAAUUGCAGAAUUCAGUGAAUCAUCGAAUCUUUGAACGCACCUUGCGCUCCUUGGUAUUCCGAGGAGCACGCCUGUUCGAGUGUCGUGAAAUUCUCAAGCUGGAUAGUUUAUUCUGUCCAGUUUGGAUUUGGGCUCUGCCGUCUCCUUUAAUGCGAACGGCUGGCCUUAAAAGUAUUAGCUGACCCUAGUUUGUGGGAUUGGUUCUACUCAGCGUGAUAAUUUUAUGACCGCUGAGGACAUCUUUCGGGAUGGCCAGUGCUGCCUAGGAUUGCUUCUAGUCCUGGCGUUGAGAGUUCGCUCUCGACCCAUCACUU
rnacentral:rRNA from 1 species